AUACUUAACCUGGUAGGGGAGAGACCAUGAUCGCCAAGGUGGUUUUCCCAGGGCAAGGCUUAUCCAUUGCACUCUGGGUGUGCUGACCCCUGUGAUCUCCCCACGCGUGGGAAACUAAACUGCACAAUUUGUGGUAGUGGGGGCCUGCAUUCACGCUCUCCCUUG